CAAAUACUCCCUCCGUCCGGAAAUACUUGUCAUCAAAAUGGAUAAAAGGAAAUGUAUCUAGACGUAUUUUAGUUUUAGAUACAUCUCUUUUUAUCCAUUUUGAUGACAAGUAUUUUCGGACGGAGGGNUUAUCCA
rnacentral:pre_miRNA from 1 species